rnacentral:sRNA from 2 species
CUACCGCUGCCAACCUACCUACCGCUGCCAACCUACCUACCACUGCUAAUCUAUCACUGCUAAUCUAUCGCUGCCAACCUAUAUAGGGUAAAUCAUGGUCCCAUUUGGUCCCAUUUUGUAAAAUGGGACCAAAUGGGACUGAGACCACUAAUUUAUUAGUAAAACAUGAUCUGGGACUAGAUUUAUAAUAUAAACAGUGUAAAGUGACUAAUUUACUAAACACUAUAUGGGACCAGGACUAAGAUAUCUAAUAAUGGGACUGAGGAAAAAUUUGGUCCCAGUCCCAUGCAUGGUCACACGGCCAGUCUAGUGCAGUUUAUACAAUUCAUUUCAAUAGUACUAUCAACAGACUUGACACUAUUCUGAUAACAGUUUAUAAAUUGAUUAAGAAAAGAAAGAGAAAGAGAAGCAGAAAAAAGGAUUGUAUGAAAGAGUUCUUAUAGAUAGAGGAAUUGAAGUGAAAGAAAUAUUGAAGAUUGUAUUCUGAGAGAGCACAGAGUGAAAG